GACGGAGGGUGCAAGCGUUGUUCGGAAUCACUGGGCGUAAAGCGCGUGUAGGCGGUCCGAAAAGUCGAAUGUGAAAUCCCGGGGCUCAACUUCGGAAGUGCAUUCGAAACUCUCGGGCUUGAGUACGGGAGAGGGAAGCGGAAUUCCUGGUGUAGAGGUGAAAUUCGUAGAUAUCAGGAGGAACACCGGUGGCGAAGGCGGCUUCCUGGACCGAUACUGACGCUGAGACGCGAAAGCGUGGGGAGCAAACAGG
rnacentral:rRNA from 1 species